rnacentral:rRNA from 2 species
AACGAACGCUGGCGGCAGGCUUAACACAUGCAAGUCGAGCGCCCCGCAAGGGGAGCGGCAGACGGGUGAGUAACGCGUGGGAAUCUACCUUUUGCUACGGAAUAACGCAGGGAAACUUGUGCUAAUACCGUAUGUGUCCUUCGGGAGAAAGAUUUAUCGGCAAGAGAUGAGCCCGCGUUGGAUUAGCUAGUUGGUGGGGUAAAGGCCUACCAAGGCGACGACCCAUAGCUGGUCUGAGAGGAUGAUCAGCCACAUUGGGACUGAGACACGGCCCAAACUCCUACGGGAGGCAGCAGUGGGGAAUAUUGGACAAUGGGCGCAAGCCUGAUCCAGCCAUGCCGCGUGAGUGAUGAAGGCCCUAGGGUUGUAAAGCUCUUUCACCGGAGAAGAUAAUGACGGUAUCCGGAGAAGAAGCCCCGGCUAACUUCGUGCCAGCCGCCGCGGUAA